AUCAUCAUUAUCAUGCCAUUCUCACCACACCACUGCCAUAUACGCAGAAGGAGAACCUUCCACUUUUUUUUUACUUUUACUAAAAAUAGACUACAACAUCACAGUAACCAUACGGACCACCUCACAGCAAUACGUCAUCCCCACACACAUUCUCUCAUCCACAACACUAUAACCUCACAGAAUCAUAUAACACAUAGAUUGAUCCAUCAUUCACCAAUACAAAAACCCAUCGUCACUCGCCCACUGCCAGUUCACAAGGCACGCACACACACAGCUGUGAGAAAGCAGUGAGAGAGAAAAGGAGGGAGAUAUACGAGAAAUCACUGAAGAAAAGAAAAGGACUCCAUUUUUCGUUUCUUCUUUGCGAUACAUGUACAAAUCCCACAGAUCCUCACCAAUGCACACACACGCACGAAGAAUCACAAAGAAAAUCAGAGAGGGAGUUCGAUUCUCGAGUUUUCAGGCGAGAUUCUCACUGAAAUCAAUGCUGGUUGUUCAAAUUAAUCCUCCCCAUUCCGAAAACCCCAACAUAUCUUGUUAUUUCUUUCUAAUUUUCAAGCGAGAUCACUGAAAACAAGUGAAUAGCAGUAGUACCAUCAGCAUCUUCUUCCAAAUCGAUCCUAAAAUAAUUUAACGUUGGUACUGUAUUUGGAUUUGGGUUUUGUUUACCUCGGUCGGUUCGUCGUAAUCUGUUUCAGGUCUCCGUUUCUCGAUACCAAGUAGAGUUUGUUCACUGUCCUUCAUGGGUUCUCUUUUCAAAUUGGCUUUCGAGGGAUUUUUGUGCUAGAAUUGGUUCAUAGUCUAGAUUUUGGUGUUCGUUGAGGUUCUCGGAGCUACUCUCAUCUUUCUUUUCAAGUCAAUUGAAAGCUUUCGAGCUAGUCCUUGAAGAGAAGUUGUGAAGGAGAGUAUUUCGAUAUACAUCAGAGCAACACACAAUUUUCGAAUGAUCGGCAGAUUUACGAUCAGAUGCUAGUUGGAAUUGAACCUGGGCAAAUUUUGGAGCCCAAUUGUGAGUCUGUGUCAAAGGUUAUUGGUCCUUAAUAUAUAGUGGUGAUCAUGACAUGAUGAUUCCUUAUACAUGCAUCAACCGUAGCUUGGAUAAGAUCUCUUAACUACUCUAUUGUUGAUGAUUGGCGACCAUGGAUUGUUGAUGGUCAAGUUUCCGGAGUGAGUUCAAAGCUAAAUGAAUGUUCUUAUUAGAUACUUGAAUUUAUGUAAACACUAUUGCAACCUGAAGGUCCCAGUUAAAGUUGUUGUCUUGUGAUCAGUUUCUACCAUGUGACCAGGCGGUCACGGGUUCAAGCCAUGGAAACAGCCUCUUGAAAAUAUGCAACGUAAGGCUGCAUAAAAUCGACCCUUGUGUUCUGGCCAGUUGCCGACCCCACGCAUAGCAGGAGCUUUAGUGUACCGGCCUGCUUUUUAAUAUUGCAACCUAAACUUUUUUUCCUUUCCUUUAUGUUUUUUAUUGAUACAUGCAGGUAUACAAGGACAUAUUCAAAUAAAAUGACAUUUGCCACAGUGAAGGAAAGCAACUAUUUGACUUCUAUUAACCAGGUUCAUUUACUUUGGUUUUCUCCUGUGUCUUUAGUAAGUUAACAUUUUAUGUAUUUGAACUCUUUGUGCAUGGAGGAGGACAUACAGCUCUAGAGUACAAGCCUGUUGAAUGUCUAGCCAUGCUGAUGAGAUGGUUAUCUUAUCAGCCUCUCUGAUUAAUUGAGGAACACAUUUCAAGCUCAUCACGAAUCAGGUCACCGGUUUGGCUUUUAAUCAACAGUAGCUGAUAAAUAUCAAAUGUCGAAACUGAUGAGUGAUUACAUGUUUGAAUAAAAGAGUUAGAAAAUGCUAAUACGUCAAUUUGACAGUUUCUUAGUUGAUUUAGUUGUUCAAAGGGCUAACUACAAGUUUCUUAAAGCCAAAGAGGCUUGAAUUUAUGCAGUAAAGGUUUGUUGUUUUUCUGCUUAUAUUUAAAUUUGCUUACAACA